UACGUAGGGUGCAAGCGUUGUCCGGAAUUAUUGGGCGUAAAAGAGCUCGUAGGCGGUCUGUCACGUCGGCUGUGAAAACCCGAGGCUCAACCUCGGGCCUGCAGUCGAUACGGGCAGACUAGAGUUCGGUAGGGGCAGAGGGAAUUCCUGGUGUAGCGGUGAAAUGCGUAGAGAUCAGGAAGAACAUCGGUGGCGAAGGCGCUCUGCUGGACCAUAACUGACACUCAGGGACGAAAAGCUAGGGGGAGCGAAUGGG
rnacentral:rRNA from 1 species